UACGGGGGGAGCAAGCGUUGUUCGGAUUUACUGGGCGUAAAGGGCGCGUAGGCGGCGCAACAAGUCACUUGUGAAAUCUCCGGGCUUAACCCGGAGCGGCCAAGUGAUACUGUCGUGCUAGAGUGCGGAAGGGGCUACUGGAAUUCUCGGUGUAGCGGUGAAAUGCGUAGAUAUCGAGAGGAACACCUGCGGCGAAGGCGGGUAGCUGGGCCGACACUGACGCUGAGGCGCGAAAGCCAGGGGGAGCGAACGGGG
rnacentral:rRNA from 1 species